rnacentral:lncRNA from 1 species
GCUGUGAGCUCCUUAAGAACCUUGUGCUCACCGGCUUCUCCCACGUCGACCUGAUUGAUCUGGUUACUAUUGAUGUCAGCAACCUCAACAGUUUUUGUUUCAAAAGAAACAUGUUGGAAGAUCAAAGGCACAGGUUGCCAGGGAAAGUGCACUGCAGUUUUACCUGAAAGCUAAUAUGGUUGCCUACCAUGACAGCAUCAUGAACCCUGACUAUAAUGUGGCAUAUUUUUGACAGUUUAUAUUGGUUAUGAAUGCUUUAGAUAACAGAGCUGCCCAAAACCGUGUUAAUAGAGUGUGCCUGGCAGCUGUUGUUCCUCUUAUUGAAAGUGGAACUGCUGGGUAUCUUGGACAAGUAACUACUAUCAAAGAGGGUGUGACCAAGUGUUACGAAUGUCAUCCUAAGCCAACCCAGAGAACCUCUCCUGACUGUACAAUUUGUAACACACCUUCAGAACCUAUACAUUGCAUCUUUUGGGCAAAGUACUUAAGAAGUAUCUCCUGACAGAGCUGACCCUGAAGCUGCCUGGGAACCAACAGAAGCCAAAGCCAGAGCUAGAACAUUCUAAUAAAGAAGGUGACAUUAAACGUAUUUCCACUAAGGAAUGGGCUAAAUCAACUGGAUAUAAUCCAGUUAAACUUUUUACCAAGCUUUUUAAAGAUGACAUCAGGUAUCUGUUGAUAAUGGACAAACUAUGGCGGAAAAGGAAACCUCCAGUUCUGUUGGACUGGGCUGAAGUACAAAGUCAAGGAGAAGAAACGAAUGCAUCAGAUCAACAGAAUGAACCCCAGUUAGGCCUGAAAGACCGGCAGGUUCUAGAUGUAAAAA